GACGGCUGCGACCUGUGGGCCCCCGAGGACGCCUGGAUGGGCACCCACCCUAAGUGUGUCUGAGUCUGGAAGCUCCACUGAAACCUGUUCAGCAUUAUAGCAACACGUAAGCCCCCACUGAUAGAUGGGUGCUGGCACUGAAUGAGAUGCACUGGCCAGGCAUCGAACCUGGGUUUUCUGCAUGGAAGUAUUUAGAGAUGAUGGAAUUAGAUAUAGGAGACGCUACCCAAGUUUAUAUAGCAUUCUUGGUUUACCUGGAUCUCAUGGAGAGUAAAAGUUGGCAUGAAGUGAACUGUGUGGGAUUACCGGAACUCCAGCUCAUCUGCCUUGUUGGUACUGAGAUAGAAGGAGAAGGGUUACAGACUGUAGUGCCUACCCCCGUCAGUGCAUCCCUGAGCCAUAACAGGAUAAGGGAGAUCUUAAAGGCAUCUCGAAAAUUGCAAGGCGAUCCAGAUUUGCCGAUGUCGUUUACUCUGGCCAUAGUGGAGUCUGAUUCCACCAUAGUCUAUUAUAAGCUUACUGAUGGAUUUAUGCUGCCGGACCCUCAGGUCAGUUUCGAGAAUAUUUCACUUAGAAGAUGACAGCUAUACUUCCUGAUGCUUACCUUGUUCAUACAAGAUUGGAUUUGAGACCCAUCAGCUUGCUUUAUCUUUAAUCUCAGAGACAGUCAGGGUUGAUUUAGCAGGUCCAUUCCAUAAGUUUUCUUUCUGAAAGAUAAAUGUUUCCAGGUAGAAGAAUGUUUUCUGUUAAAAAAUAUAGGAUAAUUGCUCUAGAACUUUCUUAUCUGGAGACAGUUUAAUUAUGGUUAUAAAUACAUUUAUGCCAAAGAUGUGUUCAAAAAGGUGGAACACAUGUCUUUUCUGUCAUCCCACACUCAUCGCUGCCUCCGUGUUCGUUGAUGCCGCUGCUGACUCAUUGUUGAGCCUGCCACCUCUUUGCUUUCCGCAACUCUCCCAAAGCCUUUUAGCCACAACUAGCCUGCAGUGACAUUUCAUGUACACUUGGACACUUAAAGAGUUUACUUCUCUCUCCUUAUAUAGAAAGUAUGUAUCUUUCAGUUGGUUUUCAUAUUGCAAUAACCAAGUUCAUCCAGAGUGUAAACUUACAUAAUUAGAUUAAUAGGGACCAGAGAAGUACUGGAUCUUCCUUUUCACUUUUAUAAGCACCACCCUUAUUAUAUAAAAACCAAAAUACCAAAAACAUUGCCAUCGAGUUGAUUCCGACUCAUAGUGACCCUAUAGGACAGAGUAGAACUGCCCCACAGGGUUUCCAAGGAGAAGUUGGUGAAUUUGAACUGCUGACUUUUUGUUUAGCAGCCGAGCUCUUAACCACUGCACCACCAGGGCUCUCCUUAUUCUAUAAUACCUAGAAUAUUAUAAGAAAUAAUGUGGGACAGUAUCAGCCUUAAAAAUAUCUUCAUUAACUAGUCUGUUAUUCGACUUUUGUUAAUCUCUCCCAAUUAAGUUGUCCAAAGUAUGAAAAAUUAAUGCGCAAAGAUGUUCCAGUAGCAUGACUUGUAAUAUCCCAAACAUAAACCACUUAAAAAUUUAGGGCUGGGAUCAGCAAACUUUUUCUGUAAAGGGCCAGGUAGUAAAUAUUUUUAGGCUUUGAAGGCCAUGCAGUAUCUGCCACAACUUCUCAACCCUGUCAUUUGUAGUGUAAAGGCAGCCAUAGACAAUAUGUAAACAAAUGGGCAAGGGUUUGUUCCAACAGAACUUUAUAAAUGCACAGCCAUAAUUUUCCAAGCCCUAGUCUAACAGCAAGGGUCAGCCACUUUUUUUUAUAGGGCUAGGUAGUAAAUAUUUUAGGCUUCACAAGCCUUAAAAAGACUAUCACAUAUUCUUGUUUCUUUAUAACCCUUAAAAAUGUAAAAACUCUUCUUUGCUUGUGGACUGUACGAAAAGAGAUAGUGCACCAAGAUUGGUCCAUUGAGCAGCCCCUGGUCUACUGAAACAGUCAAUAAACUUAUAUACAUAUAAUGGUACAUUCAUUAAAAAUUAGUAAUGAAUAUUAUGAAGAAACAUGAGAAAGUAUUAAGUAAAAAAAUCAAUAUACAAAAGUGUAUGAAUAGGUGUGAUUGUGGCUGUAAAUAUCACACCACGCAAAAAUAAAAAGAUGACAAAGUAACUCAAAUUGCUAACUGUGGUUUUAGUAGGAUGGCAGGACAGUAAAUGAAUAACUUUGUCUUUUCCCUAUUUGUAUUACUUUCAUAAUAAAAAUGUUUUAAAAUUAAAAAAAGUGUCUUGAAACAUGUAUUAGGAAUCUAUUGUUGGGUAAUAAUAUUACACAAACUUAGCAGCUUAAAACAGUCCACACUAUUCUCACAGUGUUUGUGGGUCAGGACUCUGGCAGUCCAAGUGUUUUCCGGGGCUGCAGUUCAUCUUAGGUUCGACUGAGGAAGGGGUCACUUCCUUACUUGUGGUUGUUCAUAGCUUGCAGGUCCCUGUAAGCUGUUAACUGAGGGUCUCAGUUUUUAGCUAGCUGUUAGUGAGAGGCCACCCUCAGUUCCAGGCCACGUGGGCCUUCUCAGCAUGGCCGAUUACUUCCUCAACGCCAGCAAGGGAGAGAGUCUUAGCAAGAUGAACCUUGUAAUCUUAUGUAACAUAAUCAAGUAUCCUGUCCCCUUUGUCACAUUCUAUUGGUUAGAAGCAACUCACAGGUCCUUCCGACGCUCUGGGAUUUCAUAACUAAUUAGGAAACAAUUACAAGAAUGGAAGAAUGACAAAAAUUAGGAAUAUUGCAAAAUGAUAGACAUGGCUCUUGAUCCGCAGUAGUUCCUAACUCUUCCUUUGAUGGCAUUUGGAUUUUGCCUUUAUUCUCUAUGGAUGUUCCUGACAACUCUGUUAGAUUCCCUCUUGCUUCCCUACCCUUUGCCAUCGAGCCAACACCGAGUGAUAGCGACCCUUCUGCUUCCCUAGAAGGCCAGAAGAUGCGGUAUGCAGAGCAGGAUGUUUUUCUGUGACUAGUGUGUUUGCAGAUCUGAGAACCCUAAAACAGUUUAUGAUCAAUUCUUCAGGUGCGUGCCAUUUGAUUACUUUUGAAGUUUUUCGUCAUCGUGCUAGAAAAACAGCAUGUGUUUUCAGAAGUGUAAGGUUUAGCAAGUGCCAGAGCUAUGUGUCAGAUUGGACUGGUGUUAGUGGCCUCCUAGAUAACUACAAAACCAAAAGUAUCUUUUGGGUUUGACUGCGAAAAGAGCUUUCUCAAAGAAAUCUUUAAAACCAGACCUCAGUCCCACUAUGUGUCCUGAGGCGUUCACUUUCAGGGUGUUCCCUAUGUACUUGACCAAAGAUGUUCCUGCCCACAGCCAGUCAAGUGUGAGCUAAUGUGAUAAUAACCCAGAACAGUUUAGAAAGGGAGGCAACCCAGCUGUGUCUGUCCAUUUAAGUGAACAACUAGGUAAAGUGAUUUUUGUUUGACGAAGUAAUUUUUGUAAACGCAUUUACAUGUGCCUUCCUCGUGGGCCUAUAAACAGCCAUGUCUAUUUUUUUGUACCUUGUACAGUAACUCAUAUAGUUGACUCCCAAUAAAUAUUUGAUUAGUGAGUGAGUGAGUGCUGACUGUAGACUUAACUUGGGAUAUAUGUAUGCCUAUGUGUAUAUGUGUGUAUGUGCUUGCGUUUUGCCUGAAGGCAAAUCGAAAUUAUCCAUUUGGACACCAGAGGGCACUGCUGGAUAAGCACAGAAUUUCAGACAUGAGCAAAUUAGCUUGAGAAUUGGUGCUCUUGCAAACUGAUUUUCAAUCUGGGGGAAAUAGCAUAAAUAAAAAUAAAGCUUUGUGUGCUCUACCCCCUUUUUCUUUCUGGUGUGGCUCUAAAAUUAUACUACUGACAUUAAAUAUAUGAUUUGAUUCAUGCUUUGUUGAAAAUGGGAAUUUAUAUUUAAAAUUGAAAGCUAUUUGGGGAGGUGUUUUUUUCUUGGCUGAUUUUGUUCCUAUCUAUAUGAAAUUAUACAUUUCAAAUUUUCCUUGCAAAAGCCUUCUUUAUGAAAUGAAUUUCAGUAUCAGGUCACAUAACAAAUCCCAGCUCUGAAACACUCAACUGUACUGGUGGUGGGAGACGUUAAUGGGUGCCAUAAUAUAUACGAACUUCUCUAUAAAAAAAGCCCUCUCUAGAGGGGGACAGGAAAGAGGGAAAGGGUGGGCAAUUGAUUUCUCUGUGGUGCUGACCUCCCCUUUCUUUUCAGUAGUCCCUGUUCUUUUCUCCAUCUUGCCUAGGAUGGCUCAGUGGAACACUGGGUAAUCCUAGUCCAUUGGCCUCAGACUUAUUUUGCCUCACCUGUCUGGGCCUCUCUAGAAGAAUGUGUUCCUAAACACCAUAGAUCUCUUGUAAAGAAUAUGAGGACAAAGGCACUUUGGAAUUCUAAUCUACAAUUAGAGUAGCAAUCUCCCAUCCUAUAAAGCUUAUGGAGCCCUGGUGGUGCAGUGGUUAAGAGCUACGGUGGCUAACCAAAAUGUCGGCAAUUCAAAUCCACUAGCUGCUCCUCGGAAACUCCGUGGGGGCAGUUCUACCCUGUCCUGUGGGGUCGCUAUGAUCGGAAUCGACUUGAUGGCAAUGGGUUUGGUUUUUAAAAAGUUCAUGUAAUCUGUAUCUUUUUGGCCAAAACAACUUUACGCUUUUAUAAGCCUGGAACCGAAUGACUUAACCAAAAUGUCCUGGUGCUUCAUCUUCUCUUUCUGAACAUUUCUGUUCUGAAUUCCUCUCUGAGCUCACUUUUUCCAUUGCAGCCCCCAGCAAGGGACUUUUUCAUUGCAACACAGUGGUUCUUGCCAAAGUUUAUAGUUCUUCUGUACAGAAGCUCUUUAUUCAUCUGCCAUAUUUUACCUUGACUGUUUACAUGUGCAGAAUAAUGUAGUAUCCUCUGAACAAAUAAUAGUGCAAUUUUCCCUUUCUGGCCAAUAGCUGUUCCGUUUCUUAGCCCUGCCACUCCACCAGCCUGAUCCUCUUAAUGAUCUCUGAGUAAGAACAGCUUGUGUUCACUAAGGAAAGAGGAUGGAAAAAUUACAUGUCUGUUGGGUGGGUGUGCUUUUAUAAAUGUUUAGACGAUUCUGGAAAAUUUCCCCCAAACCAGUUUAACCAUAAUCGAACAAAUGUUGGCAUUUUAGGUUUCAGGUAAUAUUACCCAAACCAAGCCAAACCCAGUGCCGUCAAGUCGAUUCCGACUCAUAGUGACCCUAUGGGAUAGAGUAGAACUGCCCCAUAGAGUUCCCAAGGAGCACCUGGCGGAUUAGAACUGCUGACCCUUUGGUUAGUAGCCGUAGCACUUAACCACUACACCAUCAGGGUUCCCAGGUAGGAUUAAGAAGUACUUAAUUAAAGUUCACUUCAUUUAUUAAUUUACCUUUAUACAUUAACUAAGCUCCUUCUGUGUGUCUAGAUACUGUGAUACAGGCUACGGAUACAGAGAUUAAUAAGGCAUGACCUCUGCCCUCAAGGAACUUAGACAGCCAGUUAUAACUCUCCAUAGCCCGAACUCUAAAACCAUGUAGUCAAUGUGAAUAAAGGAACACUCAUCACACAGUUUUGAAGUUUAUGUAGUUCAUGCAGUUCACUUAAGGGUAAAGAGGUCCAACAACUUCUGGUAGAUUAGUUUUCAAACAACCCACGCGUGUGUAUUAAUUGUCCCCACGGGCUUGACAUUGGGUAGGACACAAGGAAAUAUUGCACAAUGUACCUCUCAAGGAACUUAUUGUCUAGCUAGAGAGGAGAAAAUCUACAUAUAUGAAAUAGUUUUAGAGCAUUAAAAGGCAGCAUUAUAUAUAAAUGCUAAAUUACUAUUCUGUAGAACUUUAUUCACUAUGAAAAGCUUCUAUACCCUUUAUCUUCUCACAACAGGCUGAUGUUGUUAACUUGUAUUAUUAUCACCAUUUAAUAGGUGGAGAUAUUAGAGCACCAAGUGGUUAAAUAAUGGCUUGUGCAGUACCAAGUGAGUGGGUAAAUGAUGAUUAGAGCCAGGUCUCCUGACACCUAGUCCACUGUUUUUUUCAGACUACCAUGCUGUCUCUUGUAUGGUACAGAGGAAUAUAUUAAUGUAUGUCAAAGAGCCUUUGAGAGCAGGGGGAAAAAAACAACUCUGUUUAGUCCUGGAGAGAGUUAGGAAGUGAUUUAGGGAUCAGUUAUAUUAUCCUUCUACAUUCUCAAACAAAUGUAUCAAAAUGUCAAACUGUGGAUAAUUUGGAAAUCCAAAUACUUGUAAAGUUUUACUCCGAAGAACAUAUACAUUCAUGUCCAUUCUUUUAUGUAGGCAAACCUAAAACAAUACUUAAUAUUAAAUGAGAAGGAUCUCAGAAAGUUUCUGUAUUCGUUAGAGCUAAAUUUUAUGCUGUCACAAAGAGUAGAUGCAGGGAACUUUUAAAUGAUGAUUUCAUCUCAAUGAGGAAGGGUCCUGUACCCCAAAUAUCUCCCAAAUCUUCUUGAUAUUGCUUGAAAUCGUACCGUAAUUCUUAAUCAUGAAACUUUGAUUCAACUUAAAUGUGACAAACAGUUUUGUAGCACCUCCAUGGGCAAGGCACAGUGCUAGAUGUUGGGGAAUAUAAGUCCAAAUAUUUUAUUAUUAUAUCCAACAAAGAAAAUUAAUCAGUGAAAUUGUUAAAAGAUUUUCUACAUGUACAUACCUUGUUGUGCACCGCAGUAUUUUGUGACUGGCAUCUGUGUGUGGACCACACUUUGAAUAAUGUUUUUGAGCUCAGAUGAGACGUGAUGAGAGCCUGAACCCCAACAAUAGCCCAAGUAGUCAGGAUGGACUAGAUUAUGAUGCAGUAACAGCCGGUAACUUCUAACAAAUGUUUAUUUCUUGCUCACAUUACACAUCCAUCGCAUCUCGUCUAGGGGUUCCUUACUCUGGGAAUCAGGUUGACAGCGUCUCUACCACCUGCAGUGUUGUUGGUUCCAGUGGCAGGAGGAAGACAGUGUUGUAGUGUCUCAUAUUGCAAUUAAAUGCGUCCACCUGAAGCAACAGAUGUCAUUCUUGUCCACAUUUUUUGGCCAAAACAAGUCACAUGGCUGGCCAUGAUCAACUUCAAGAAGGAGGGGAAUUGCAAUUCAAUCCCAUGGCUGGACUAAGGAGUGGUGGACUAUUGAGAGAACAGCAUUUCCUGGUAAAGGAACGGAGAGGAGAGAUAACGAGGGGGUAGAUUUAACCACUGAUUAGCUGUGGAGAGCAAAGAAGAAAAAGGAGUUAAACCUCAAACUGUUCUGAAUCACUUUACAGUGGAGGAAUUUCAAGUUGCAAUGGGAAUAUGGUGAGAGGACGUUGCAGGAACGUCAGGCCAUGAAACACCACCAAGGUGGGAAAGGGCCAUCUGGGAACUGAGAAGAGUAAAGCUUGGAAGGCAAACUUCUUCCCACUUGCCUGCUCACGUUCUGGAUUUAGUAUCUGAUCUCAGAAAGGAGAUACUUUAUGUAUCAGGAACCUAGGGUCACUGGAGACUUGACUUCUUCUGAUGCAUCAUGGGCUGUUACACAGACUGUGUUGUCCUGGUCUUUCCUAAGAUGGAGCAAGAAAGUAUUUGCGCCUAUGGCGCAGAGGAUUUAAUUGAGGCCUGAGAGUAUAUUUCUGAAGGAAGCUGGUUCAAAACGAAUGGAUGGGGCUGGGUCUGUGAGGAGAAUAGUGACUUCUUUUCCGGGAUUGGUAUUUGUGUAGCAUUGUGAACUUGUCUUGUUUGUAUUGAUCUAGAUGACUUGCAGGGUACAUUAGCAUGGGAUAUGUGGAGAGAAGAUUGAGGGGUGGGCAUCAGCCCUCAGGGUUCUCGUCAGCUCAUGUCAGUUCUCGUCAGUUCAUGUCAGUUCUCGUCAGUUCAUGCUAGUAUCAGCUGAAUUGAAUAUCAUCCUCCUGUGUGAUUGGCCCGCAGAGGUCACUGCUGUGUCCCUCUAAUCCUUGGCCACAAAAUCUUUCAGAUCUGGGUCUCUCUCAGCUAUUUCUUUUGGGCACUUGGAAAAGAUUUAGUUCUGUUCCUGAACUCCAUGGGCAUGUGGGGAACUUUCAGGCUGUCUUGGAUCCUCUCUGUCUAGAUAUGCUUCCUAGCCAGCUGUUAUUUUCUACUGUCUCUUCAGCAUGCUGUUGAGUGACCUUAAGGGCCUGGGGCCUGUCGAGGCUUCACCUGAGCCUCAAGGUAGCCUGGAGAGAUGGGGUGGGGAGCGCUGGGCACAGAUUCCCUUCACAUUACCCCAAACCUAACUGGAGUGUCUAUUAUCUCUGCUCUCCACCAGGAGCUCAGUCAGAAUGUAACCCCUCCUGAGGCCAGGCAGAGAGGCCAGAACACAGGCUUCUGGUCAGUGACCCAUUCAAGGGUCUAACUCUUUUGCUUUUUGUUCUCUCCUCUACCCCAGUUUUGUCUAGUUUUAUCUUGUUUUUAGGGGUGGAAAAAACUGACUCUGACCACUUGCAAUCUAUUUUUCUUCCAAAUAUACUAUUUUUGCUAAGAUUUCACAUUUCGAAAUUCAAGAGCCAAGAAUUUGCCUCUUUUAUUUUGUAUUGUAGUAUAAUCCUGUCCUUGUGGCAGUGUGCCAAGAAAGGAUAUGUGAGAAAAAGUUCACAGGUAAUAAGAAUUACUGAGAAGGGAAAACAUCAGUUAAUAUAUCAAAAUGUUAUCCUGCCAUAUUUGCCAGCAGGAGAUGUUAAUUAUCAUUAACAUGCAUAUGUAUACUGACAAGAAUCAUUUAAUUUUCUUAGUGCAUAUCUUGUGUACCAGUCUGCAUCCUACCUAUUGCUAAUACAGUACCUGGCACAUAGUAGGAGCACAAUAAAAGUUUUAUUUGAUUGCAUUCAAAUGUUCAUAAAGAGGCUACCCUAAACAUAGUCCUAGUAUUGCUAUUCCAUGGCAGGGUGAGAAUUGGCUGUUUGCCUGCUUGUCAACCCCAGUGUAGAAAGAGGAGUCCUGGGUUCUCUGGGCCCCAGGAGAGAUCUCAUUCUGCGCUAUAUGCUCUUACAAACAUGCUUAUGCUCUGAGACACAUUAUGUUUGUAUCCUUUGCCUUAGCAGUUUUGAGAAAUCAAAACAAGGAUGUCUAAACAAAGUAUAUCUGGCUGAUAAGCUUAGUUUAUAUUUGAUUACACAUUCUUUUCUAUUCUAAACCCAUGCAUUCAUUUAUCCAGCACUUUUGGGGGAAAUGGAGACAUGCAAACAUUGCUAAUCUGAAAACUCUUCUUAGAAAUCAUAAUUCCCCGCUCAGAAAUAUAAAAUUAUUAUGAUUAUGCUUCUGUUGCUGACCACAGUUGAGGACUCUGUGGUUUUAAAAAAUAAGUGAAAAAUUGUUCACCUCUUUUCCCAUCCCAAGUGAAAUGAUUAGAAAAUUUGGUUCUUGGAAAUAUCACCUAAGUGGGCUUUUCCUGGGUUGUGGGUUCUCAGUUCUUUAGGUAUAAAUGAAUGUAAUUCAUCCACUUUGAACCUCAUAUUUCCAUCUCCAUAGGAUGAAGGAGUUGGUGCCAGUACUAUCUGCAAGCCUUUCUAGCCCUAAAAUUUGGUAAGCUUAUGACUGACCAAUCUGGCAGCAUAGAUCCUCUUUUCUCAUCAUUACUCUCUUCCCUCCUCUACCGCAUUUUUUCAAAAGUCCUUCCAGUCAUGAGCUUUGAUAAUCUACCAUUAGAAUUGUGUUCCUUUGAAUUUUUGAGGCUCAAGAGACUUAAAGGCAGAGCUUGGACUUCAGACCAUCCGGGAUAACAUGGGAGAGUUAGGUAAUGCCCCUGAGCCUCAGUUUCUUGUCUGUAAAAUAAGGGACAAAAUAUGUUCUUUCAAGGCUGUGUUUUCCUCACAUAAUAAAAUAAUUAUGUGGGGAUAGAUGAAGCCUCGCACACAAUAAGCUGUCAGUGUUCCAUUUCCUUCGCAGUCUCCAAGUGCUUCCCAUUGAAGUGCAAGUCGCCACCUUUGGUGGGAAUACACAACUCUCUGAGAGCCGGGUCUCCAAAGAAUGGGACCUAGAUGUGCAGUGGGGGUAGGAAGGAGGUGCAAGAAAGAGGGGUGGGAAGAUACCAAAGACAAAAUUUGCCCUUUGAAAAUUUUGUCAAGCUUAACACUGCUGCUGUUGCUAUUGUUACUGCUGCUGGUGAUGAUGAUUAUAAAAUUUUUUUGGUCCAAUCUUUGGGGAACCCGUUGGACUCAGACGAGCUGCACAGGAAGAAGACAAUCACCGGCUGUGUAUUUGGAGGCUUAUAUCAAGUAAGGGAAAUUGCUACUGCAAGGAAGCUUGUAUUGGAACAAUUCACUGGGAUUGAAAACAAUCAAGUUGAGCUUAGCUCAGUAUAGCACAAAAGCACAUUGAAAAAUUCUCUGUAAAAGAAGUCUGGAAUAUUCAGGAUCAGGAUGGGUUUAAGUCAUGGGCCCUGGCGUGGAGCCUUCUAUUGACUGUGGGUGUCUUAGGCUGGGUUCUUUAGAGAAGCAAAACCAGUAAAGCAUAUAUAUACAUGCACACAGAGAUUUAUACCAAGGAAAUGCUCACACAGUUGUACAGGCCAGAAUGUCCCAACUCCAUGAGUUGGGAUAGAGACGUUUAUCCUGAUUCAUGUAGCUGCAGGGGCUGGCGAACCCAAGAUUGGCAGGUCAGAGAGCAGGGCUCUUGCUCACAGACUGCAAAGAUGGACAAAUCCCAAGAUCAGCGGGCAAGACCACAGGUAAGCUGCUAGCUCAAGUCCCAAGAACUGGAAGUCAGAAGAACAGGAGCCAGCUGCAGGAUCCAGAGGAAGCAAAAGUCCAAGAGCCUUGCCAGAAUGCCCACUUAUAUUCGGUGCAGGCCACAUGCCCAAGGAGACUCCCUUUCAGCUGACUGGCUACUCACAACAGAUCCCAUCACGGAGGUGAUCACAUUAUAUCACAUCUCAUCACAGAAGUCAUCACAACAUCAUAUAGCUGCCAAACCACUGAGAAUCAUGGCCCAGCCAAGUUGACAUACAACCUUAACCAUCACAGUGGGGAUAUGGCCUCUUCUUGAUGAAUUUCUGAAGGAAUGAAUAAGUAAAGAAACAUGACACAAUAACUGAGAAUUAGUAUGUGUAUAGCACACUUACAUUAGAGUGGGGGAUGUAGAGACUUUGUUCUCCACUGUGUCCUCGAAUCUUAGAACAGUGUUUGACACAUAGUGGGUACUUACAAAUAUUUGUGGAUGGAAAUAAAUUAAUACAUGUAAAGUAAUGUCAGAUGGUGAUAAAUGCUCUGGAGAGAGUACAGCAGGGUAGGAAGAGAAUGUGACAGGAAUGUAACUCCAGUUAGGGUCAUCAGGAAUGGCUUUUUUUUUGCAGGUGACAUUUGAGCAGAGACCAGAAUGCAGUGAUGGAGAGAAUCAUACAAAUAGCUGGAGGAAUAGCUUUUCAGGCAAAGGGAAAAGCAAGUGCAAAAGUCCAGAGAUUCUUGUAGCAGAAACAGCUACCAGCCCACCGUUCCAUCAAGGUGUGGACAUAUGACCUGCAGACCAUGAAAUGUGAGUGUUGCGUAUCACUUCCUGUGAUGGGGAUUUUAGAAGAGGAUGUGCCUUCUCUGCCAUCUCUUUCCCUUCCACUGUCUGGGAAGAGAAGACAGAGAGACCCUAGAAGAUGGUGGAGCCACAUGGAGGAAAGCUAUCAGUCACUCAGUGACUACAAGGUACUGUUCUUUCAUCAGAAUGUCAAGAGUGGGCAGCAAAAAGGAAUGAUAUUGAGUUGUGGAGCUUUCCAAAGUGGAAGUCAAUACUGCAAGGCCUUCUAAGGUGAUGAGGCCCAGGGUAUGCAGUGCUCUGAACGUUGCUCUCCCUGUGACCUUGGGCAAACCACACAAAGAUGGUAAGUAGCACAUGCCUGCCCUUUGGAAGCAGGGUGGUGUAGUGGGAAGAAUCCAGGCUUCACCAGACCUCAGUUGGGUCUCCUGCCCUGCCAUUUAUUUUAAGGGUGACCUUAGAUAGACGUCUUAGUUAUCUAGUGCUACUCCAACAGAAAUACCACAAGUGGGUGGUUUUAACAAACAUAAAUUUAUUUUCUCACAUUUUUGGAAGCUAGAAUUCCAAAUUCAGAGCACCAGCUCUAGGGGAAAGCUUUCUCUCUCUGUCAGCGCUGGAGGAAAGUCCUUGUCUCUUCAGGUCCUGCUUCCUGGUUCCUUGGAGAUCUCCAUGUGGCUUGGCAUCUAUCUUACCCCAUCUCUGCCUCUAGCUUGUGUUUAAUCUCUUUUGUAUCUCUAAAGAUAUUGACUCAAGAUACACCCUACACUAAUCCUGCCCCAUUAACAUAACAAAGUCAACCCAUUCCCAAAUUUGCAUUAUAACCACAGGCAUAGAGGUUAAGAUUGACAACACAUAUUUUGGAGGGACACAAUUCAGUCCAUAACAGUAAGUUACUUAACCUCAUCCAUAAAUGGGGCAAUACUAAUAAAAAUCCUUCUACUAGGGCUCUUGUGAGGACUAAAUGAGAUGGAUGUAUAUAAAUUAUUCACCACAUUUUCAAGAAACAGUAACUAGUAUUAUUUUUGGUAGGCUGAUAUUUUGUGGCAUUAAUGUUUCAAAUGUGACCAUAUCUUUACUUUUAUUUCUGGGAGAAAUAAUUUGUGUACAUUUAUUUACAGAGUUAAGAAGAAAUAUCUCUCCUCUCCCUUAUGAAUCAGAUACAAGCCCCUUAAUGCAUUCAUUCAUUCUAGUGAGAGGUUUCAUUGCUAGAUGAAGUACAGUAUAGUGGUCAGAGCAGGGACUCUGGCACUAGACUCCAGGGUUCACAACCUGCUGUGUGACCUUGAGCAAGGUGCUUAACUUCUCUGGGUCAAAAUCCAUUGUCUGCAGUUCCCAAAUUUAAAAACCAAAAGUUUUUUAUACAAGGUUAUUUAUAGAUUUAUCCUAAAUAAAAAAGAUUUAUCCUACUUAGUGUAAAUCUUCCUGUUUUGGGUAUAGAAAUGUUAAUGUGCUAGAGUACAGAGUCCCCAGACCCUGAAGAGGGGUUGUGUAAUAUAUAUUCACCAGGUGCUCCUUGGAAACCCUAUGGAACAGUUCUACUCUGUCCUAUAGGGUUGCUCUGAGUCAGAAUCAACUCAAAGGCAAUGGCUUUGGUUUUGGUAUGGAACCCUGUUUACCCUACUGGAUCCAAGGGAUUUGGGUAAGGGAUUGUGGAGCUCUAAUAUACCUUCAUAGGGCUGUUGUAAGGCUUAAAAACAAAGCAAAAGAUGUUGUUGUUGAAUUGAUUCCAACUCAUGGCAAUACCAUACAUUGUGAGGCUUACAUGAACUUAAUACAAUCCUAGGAACAAUCUUUUAGGGCAGAAAAUAGUACCCGAUUUUACAGAUGAGGAAAAUAAGGCACCAAAAACCAAACCAAACCAAACCCAGUGCUGUCAAGUUGAUUCUGACGCAUAGCAACCCUAUAGGACACAGUAGAAUUGCCCCAUAGAGUUUCCAAGGAGUGCCUGGUGGAUCCAAACUGCCAACCCUUUGGUUAACAGCCAUAGCACUUAACCACUAUGCCUCCAGAGUUUCCAAAUAAGGCACAGAGAAGUUAAGUAGCCACAUAACUCAUAUGUGAUAGAGCUGGAAUUCAAAUACAGCAUUUCUGAUUCCAGAGCCCGUAUAUUCUGUUGAAACAGAUUAAUUUAAUUCCCAGGGCCAUGUACAUGCUCUGACAGAGCCAACUUCAAUUAAGAAUCCACCCUGAGAGGAAGACUGACACUUAAGGAAAUACCAUCAGCAGGGGCUGACUUCUCCGGACAUCUGCACAGGCAGACCAGCUGUAGGGAAGGAGAAGUGGGUGCUGGUGAGGCUUCCUAGGUCCCCUCCAUGGACUGCCAACCACAUGGUUUGAUGGGAGAGCCAGGACUGCACACCAUUCAGUUGCCCUCUGUGCCCAUUCCUCUGACUGCCACCCUGUCUCAGCUUGGGUUCCUAUAGAAGCAGAUCCUGAGAAAAGGAUUUGAGUACAAGUAGUUGAUGUGUUAGGUGCAAGAAACACCAUUAGCGAGUGAAGACGUGAUACAGGGGAGGGGAGGCAGCCAAUAAUGGCCGUGUUAUGAUGCCAGCUUCCACAACGAGUGAUCACAAUGUCACAGGGAAACUUGGGGUCAUGGUGUAAACACUUGUUUCAGAAUUACCCCACCCAAGGGAUGAGGGAACUGAGGUAUUUAUACUCCAUCUCUGGAGAGGCACUGGUUGAAGGCUACUCCCAGAAAUGUCCUUGGCAGGCGAUCAGAAGCAGCAUGGCCUUCUGCAUUCUGUAAAAAGCCUUCAGGCACAGAGAUGCAGAUAAUGGCACUAGGGACCAUAUUGAAAUUUAAGGUCCAAUGGAGAUGAGUGAAGCAUUGACAGUGUCUGAUACACAUCCUUUAGCACAGUUCUGUGUAGUAGUAGGAACAACCUUACUUGUGAAAAAAACCCAAGGUGGAUGCUACCUCACUCACCGUGGAUUUGAUGUCCACUAACAGACCCAACUACCUCCCCCCGCCCCAAAAUCCCCACCACACAGCCAGCCAUGGCUCCUGGAAUGUGUGCUGUAAGUUACCAGUUUUUAGAGGCCAGCAGUAAAAUUUCAGUACGUUACCCAGAAGAAGUAACGAACGAACUAUGACCUUUCCUUUCCUAGCUGAGAUACUUGCCUUUAGGGAAUGGGACUAAGAACAAAGAUAUUUUAAUGGAGGAAAGAUCAAGAAAGUUCUGGAUGGUGGGGUCAGGGAUGAGGAAAGGAUAAUAAGGAGUGGUUGCCACCAGUGAAGACCCUGGGUACUCUGGGGUGCUGUCUGCAGAGUGGGGGGUGGCCACUGAAGGCGGUGGCCUCUGAAGAAAGUGGCACCAAAUGGGAGCCCAAAGUGUCCAUAGAGAUAGAAGGAGCUCAAAUGGGCAUUGUUUUGCUUCACACUUUCAUCUAGAUCUGAGCCUAGAAAGGAAGACUUCUUGGCCACAUGUAGCUCUUAAUUUGUGAGCUUUUAGAAGACAACGACCAUGUGUCGUCUGGUCUUCGUAUCCCCAGAACUCAGCACAGUGGCCAGUGACUCAUUUUUCUGAACAGAACUGCCGUGAAUUUGGUGCUAUGCUCUAGUUUCACCUACCAGUUCCUUCCUGACAUUUCUAUUAGCAACCCUACAUUUAAACAAAUGAGCUCUCUGUGUCUCCAUUUCUCCUUCUAUAAAAAGGAAAAGCAACACCACCAACAACAACUCACUUACCGGCUGUGAGACCUUGGACAAUUUAUUCAAUCCUUGGUUUCUUCAGCAAUAAAAUGUGGAGAAUGCUGCUGAAUGUCCCAAGCUUCUAGUGAGGUUUCAGCGAGGUAGCUCAUGUAAAGGGCUUGCUUGGUACAGUACCUGGCACAAGGAGAUUCAUUAAGUGUAGCUAUUGCCAUUAUUAGUGCUUCUAAUACAAUACCCACCCUUCUAGGAGAGGGAGAGAAAUCUGGGAAUUCUCAUACCGAACAGGCUGCAAAUCCGUUUUAAGCUUCUGAUGAGAAAUUGAGGGCAUCAGAAAAGAAAGCAAACCGCAAUUCCCUGAAAUAUUCCAAUUCUAUUUCUGCAAAUAAGUCAUAAUGAUUUGUGUCAAAUAAUAUGACUGCAUCUUUCCUCUAAGGAACCUAAUGGGCUUCUGCCAACUACUUAUCCAGCAGGCAAUGCUCACAUCCCUCAGGAUAAACUAAGGGAGUGUUCUAGAUGGCCACAUGCCGGAGGCCAGAGCUGUAGGCAGAGGGGCACUAAUAAAAUAUGAUAAUUUACUUUUUUUAUCCUCUCUGUAGUUUAGACUGUACAGUCUGGAAGCAGGCCAGCAUGGUCAAUUUUAGCAAUUGCAGGGUUGAGCUUACAGUACAAAGUACAAGACAGCUUUUACUUCAAAUAGAAGUCAGUCUUGGGUAAUGGUUGUUCCCUCCCUUUUGAAAGUCCAGCUAACUCUCAAGGGCAGGCACCUCCCAAGAUUCCAUUCUUUCACCAAAAAUCUGAGGUUCUGGUUUCAUAAUGUUGUUUACACUCCUCAGGACAUGCCCAUCAGGUCUCUUCAUGUGGACUUCUGGGCUGUAGACUUCCUACGGACAGAUGAAGGGUAAGGGAGAAGAGGCCUCUCAAGAAAUUGCAAUUGUUUUUAUCUUUAUUUUCAACCUAAAUGACUGCACUAAAAUCUAUUUGAGAAAACAGAACCAUCUGGCAUCAUUGGUCAGAGCCAUAAAUGGUGUAGAAAGGGGAAAAAUAUGCUGAAUUCUGAUAAAUGGAAAGGGGGUUACAUAGGCUUAAUUGAAGCCAUGUGAAAGGGGUUCUUUUGUCAUUUUUUUUCCCAAAUUAAAAAAAAAAAAAAUCAAUGCUGUCCAACUGUCCCCAGAGACUACACACAAGGCACAGUUGAAAGUUCUAUUGUCCUUUCAUGCCUCCCCACUGAUCCUGGCUUCAUAGGGUAGGGCGUUGUGGCCUAUAGGACCCCUUGCCCUUUGUUCCUGUCAUUGAUGGAGGAAGUGCUUAAAUGAGAAUCAUUAAGCCCACUUCUUUUUCUGUUUCCCAGAUGCUAAAUGUUUAUUUGUUGAUAUAGUCAUUAAAGGCAAACAUUUGCUCAACACCCACCAUGUAUCAGACCCUCUUUAAGGCACUGAGCCUGCUAAGGCAAAUGAGACACAACAACUGUCUCAAAGAGCUCCAGUUGAUUAGGGAACCAGAGAAAUAGUUACUGACACAUGGCCACAGAGGAGGAUAGAGAAUGGAGAAAAGCUUUGAAGAGAGUACCAAGGAACAUGGAGGUGACUUUCUAGGAGGGAAGAAAAAGAGAGGAGCACUAGUGGGAGGAAAAAUGUAAUGGGAAAAAAAGAAAUAGCCAGCAGGUUGUUUUUAAGAGAAUCCGUCUCUUUGAUGUAUGGCUGAAAGCAGCUGGUGGUGUUGGUGUGGACUGCAGACAACUUUAGCUUGGGCAUCAGGAAAUAGCCUCAGCAGGUGAAAGCCCGGUAGAAGAACCUUUCCUGUCUUCGGCUGCACUGUGUAAUUAUUUGGCACAAGAAAGGAAGAGAGAAGAAAAAGAAGGAGAAGAAGAGGAGGAGGAGAAAGACAAGGAGAGAAGGAAGGGAAGAAGGAAGGAAGGAAAGAAAGGGGGCAGUUACCUUACGUGCUUAAGAAAAUAUUACAUAUGAAUCCAAUUAUCUCCAAUUCCUAAUCCUAACCCUUGCACAGACCCAGGAGUUGAAGGAUUGGUCCACCACUGUUUCUAUUUAGCUUUCAUAAGAUCCAAACUAACAAACACCAAAUUCAUUGAUCCCCUCUUCCUCAGGCAAGUAAAGAAUGGACUGAUCUUGCAAGAGACCCAUGAGAAAUACACUGAUUUAGGAAAAAUGAAGACAACAUCAUGACUUUUAUUGCACAGGGUGAUAUUAAAUCAAGUCAAAUUAAAUAUACAUUUUAUCUGGUUUGAACUUUAUAUUUAAUUAACAUAGCUUUGAUUUUGUUAUGUCUGUUACAAACAUGUCAUGAAAUGCUAUUCAGAUUGUGUCAUUCAAAAAGGGUUUCCAAAAAACCAUCUGUAUUAGCUUCCUAGGAUUGCAAUAACAAAUUACCACGCUCUGUGUGGCUUAAAACAAUGGAAAGGUAUUGUCUCACAGUUCUGAUAAAAAAUUGACUCUUUACAAGAAGGAAGCCCAUGGGAAAGAAAGAAGGGAGGUAACCCAAUCAAAUCUUCAUGUAAACAUGCUGAUGACAGACCCCCAGGUAAACACACUAAUGGUAUUUGCUAAUGCAUGGUCAUUAUCUAUGAAAUACUUCUAGAAAGAUGUGCCUGGUCUGCUUCUGGUUGUUCAUUUGUAACAAAUCUGGAAUCUAUGAAUUUACUGGGAAUGAAUCCUUGGAAAAACUCAAUGAAAGGCACGGAGCCCAAACCACUGGGGAAAGCAAGACAAAGCAGUGGCACCUACCCUGAGCACCACAGAGCACCUGGCCACGGAAUGAGGAGCCAGCAGGAGAACCGUGGACAGGGCAGCCCCUACCUGCCCUGGCCACCUUUAACAGGUAAUUAGAGUAGCGGAGCCUAAGCUUGAUCUUGUUUUAAGGGCUGGGACUUAGCUCUAGUUCUCACUGGGACAAAGAUUCUGAGACUGAAACAGUUUGAAACUGAAGGAAUGUUAGUGCGUGAGGCCAUCCAUACACUAGAGUUCCGGCACAGGGUCCUUCCUGGGAAGCAAUAUAAGUCGUAUCUGUUAUGGAUUAAACCAUGUCUCCCCAAAGAUAUAUUAAAGUCCUCACCCCUGGUGACCUUGUUUGGAAAUAGGUCUUUGAAGAUGUUAUCAGUUAACAUGAGGUCAUACUAUGGUAGGGUGAUCCUAAUCCAAUGCGACUGGUCCUUAUAAAAGAGGAGAAGUAGCACAGAGGACCGGCCUGUGGAGAUGCAUCUACAACCCAAGAAACACCUAGGGCUACCAGAAGGUGGGAGAGACAGGAAGGAUCUUUCCUAGGACCUUGAGCAUAGCUUGGCCAACACACUGAUUUGGACUCUUAGCUCUCAGAGUUUUGAGACAAUAUAUUUUUGUUAGAAGCCACCCAGUUUGUGGUAUUUUGUUAUGGCAACCCUAGGAAACUAAUACAGGAUCUAACACUGGUUUUUAAUGGUGGGAAUGACAUACAUACUCAUUAACCCUAGCCUGUAAGUUCAUUGAGUAAAGACUAUUGGUCUGACUGGUGCCCUGCUCAGACUCCUGUACCUAUGCUGUGCGUGGCAUGUAUUUAAAUAUUUGUUGAAUGAAAUGAAUAAGGCAGUGUAGAAGAUGGAUAAGAGUGGAAGGAGAUUACUGCCAGACAGAACAGUUAAGAGACUAUUAGAACAAUCUAGAUGAGCAACCACAAUAGGAGAGAAAGGGCCAAAUUUUAGAUCAACGCUCUCUAACACAGCUUUCAGCAAUGAUGGAAAUGUUCCAUUCUGCACUCUCCAUUACAGUAGCUAUUAGCCACGUGAGGCUCUUGAGUACUUGAAAUGUGGUUAGUAAGACUGAGGAACAACAUAAAGAAAACAAAAAUCCUCACAACUGGACCAAUAAGCAACAUCAUGAUAAAUGGAGAAAAGAUUGAAGUUGUCAAGGAUUUCACUUUACUUAGAUCCACAAUCAACACCCAUGGAAGCAGCAGUCAAAAAAAUUGGAAUUUAUUUAAUUUCAUUUAGCCACAUGUGGCUAGUGACUACCAUAUUGAAUAGAGCAGCUCUAGAGUUUUCUGUACCAGAAUCAAAAGAACUUGUGACAAAUUGUAUUCAUUCAUUCAUUCAAUAAAAAAUAUUUAUUGAUGGUUUACUAUGUCCUGCAGGGUAAAACAAAGGCCAGGUUUGGAAUGUGUGUGUCAUUUUGGCAAUGUAUAUGUCAUGUCAACAUAUUUGGACUUCGUAAGUCACUUUGGUAAAGAGGCUCCAAAGCUGAUUUUUAAGCAUGAAUAGUGCAGACAACAACCUUGUCCAAACCGUACAUUCUCGAGGGAGAUAUUUAAAAAAAAAAAAAGUUCCACAAAGAAAAAAAAUCUGGGUGAUACUAGAAAGCACAGAAGAGGGUGGACAAGCUGUUUUAGCAGGAUUGCUCAGGGAAAUCCACUCUGAGAGGUGACAAGUUGAGAGUUGGAUGAUGAGAAAAUAGGGAUUAAGAAAAACAAAAACAAACAAGAACCCCAAACCAGAGCUACAAUAAUCAUUGAUGAAGGAAAGCAAUAAAAUUCAGUGUGAAGACACUUAGAACAAGGAGGGACUUCUCAGUCCUCAAGUCUAGCGUACUCUCUGUCUCCAGAAAGGCAACAGAGAAGUAAAGAUACUUACCUAAGGCCACACAACUCAUUAAUAACGUAAGUGGUAACAGACUCUCAAUCUUCUGACUUCCAGCUCCCCUCCCUACUGGUUAGGUUUCUCAGCAACCUGAAUCUUCUUUCUUUUGAUAGUAAAAUGAGUUAUUGUGAGAAAUGGAAAAUAAUGCAUAAUCAAGAUGUUUAAAAAAAAUGGUAGCUAUUUUUAUUAUUGUAUUUUUUUUAACUCUUCUUGUAGUAUGCCUUUUGUUUAUAUUCAUAAAGUCGUUAACAAGGGUGUUAUUUUAGUAACAUUAAAAACAUAACUGGGGCAAUUUUCUCCUUUUCUUUAACUGUUGUUGCCUGAGGGGAAUCUCAGCAUUGAGCCCUUGCAAUCAACAUCAGGUACCACCUGCCAUUUGCCUGGAGGCAGCUCCCAGAAGUACAGGUGCUGUGAGGGAAGACAUAGUCUCCAUUCUGCGGGCCUGGUGAACUCCAUCUUAAUAAGUGGUGGCAAGUAUUAUGUCCUCCUGCUUCUGAAGAGAGAAAAAUGCAGCUGUGGUUUUUUCCCCAGCAGACACAGCUCUCAUUAAGCUCUUUCCUGAAAGCUGCUGUAGACAGGGUCUGAAGAGAAGAUGAAGGCUUUAACAGGACGUGCAAGUUGAAAUGAUGAAAAGGGUACACUAAAAGUAUAUGGCACAGGGAAGGAUUUUCUACAUGCAAAUUGAGAAUUAGGUCUUCAUUCAUUUGGUUAGUCACCAUUUUAUACCUUACUCCCUGCGCCACCACAUCUCUGCCCUUUGAACUUGUAUUUUUGCAAAUAUUCAAAUGGGACAAAACAAUAUGAAGCUCCUGGCUUCCGGAGUAGCAGUCAGUGUUGACUAUACAUGUUAGUUCUCCUUAACUUCUCUGGGCCAUUUGACUUUUCUGACCACGUCUUUGGGGCUCAACUCAGAGCCUUGGACUCCCAGCCCAUACUCUUUCUAUUCCUUGUGUUGCAUCUGAGUUUGGUGAUUAUUGAGCCUCUUAAGCAAUUGUCAUUAAUAGGUUAUUUGAUGACUAUAGUAUGACUAUUGAGGGCAGCGGUGGUUCAGUGGCAGAAUUCUCAUCUUCCAUACAGGAGAUUCCCCCACGCGUCUGUCAGUUUGUCAUACGUGGGGGCUUGAGUGUUGCUGUGUUGCUGGACGCUUUGCCACCGGUAUUCAAAUACCAGCAGGGUCACCCAUGGCAGACAGGCUUCAGCUGAGCUUCCAGCCUCAAACAGAUUAGGAAGAAGGGCCCGGUGGUGUUUACCUGUGUUUUAUUGACUAUGCAAAGGCAUUCGACUGUGUGGAUGAUAAAUUAUGGAUAACAUUGUGAUGAAUGGGAAUUCCAAACACUUAUUGAACAGAACAAGGGGAUACUGUGUGGUUUAAGGUCAGGGAAGGUGUGUGUCAGGGUCGUAUCCUUUCACCAUACUUAGUCAAUCUGUAUGAUGAACAAAUAAUCUGAGAAGCUGGACUAUAUGAAGAAGAAUGGCGCAUCAGGAUUGGAGGAAGACUCAUUAAUAACCUGUGUUAUGCAGAUGGCACAACCUUGCUUGCUAAAAGUGACAAGGACUUGAAGUACUUACUGAUGAAAAUCAAAGACCAUGGCCUUCAGUAUGGAUUACAACUCAAAGAAAACAAAAAUCCUCACAACUGGACCAAUAAGCAACAUCAUGAUAAAUGGAGAAAAGAUUGAAGUUGUCAAGGAUUUCACUUUACUUAGAUCCACAAUCAACACCCAUGGAAGCAGCAGUCAAAAAAAUUGGAAGAUGCAUUGCACUGGGCAAAUCUGCUGCUAAAGACCUCUUUAAAGUGUUGAAAAGCAAAGAUGUCACGUUGAGGAGUAAGGUGCGCUUGACCCAAGCCAUGGUGUUUCCAAUUGCCUCAUAUGCUUGCAAAAGCUGGGCAAUGAAUAAGGAAGACAGAAGAAUUGACACCUUUAAAUUGUGGUGUUGGUGAAAAAUAUUGAAUAUACCAUGGACUGCCAAAAGAACGAAGAAAUCUGCCUUGGAAGUAGUACAACCAGAAGGCUCCUUAGAAGCAAGGAUGGUGAGACUGCGUCUCACAUACUUUGGACAUAUUAUCAGGAGGAACCACAACCUGGAGAAGGACAUUAUGCUUGGUAGAGGGCUUGCAAAAAUGAGUAAGACCUUGACGAGAUGGACUGACACAGUGGCUGCCAAAAUGGGCUCAAGCAUAACAACCACUGUGAGGAUGGCACAGGACCAGGCAGUGUUUCGUUCUGUUGUACACAGGGUCACUGUGAGUCAGGAUCGACUAGGCAGCACCUAAUAACAACAACAAUGCAGGAGAUCCAGGUUCGAUUCCUGGCCAAUACACCUCACUUAAUCAUCUAGUGCUGCUGCUAUAACAGAAAUACAACAAAUGAAUGGCUUUAACAAACAGAAAUUUAUUAUUUCACAGUCUAGUAGGCUAGAAGUCCAAAUUCAGGGUGUUAGCUCCAGGGGAAGGCCUUCUCCCUCUGUCGUCUCUGGAGAAGGGUCCUUGUCAUCAAUCUUCCCUAGGACUAGGAGAUUCUCAGCACAGGGACCCCAGGUCCAAAGAAUGCGCUGUGCUCCUGAUGUGUCUUUCUUGGUGGUAUGAGGUCCCCAACUCUCUGCUUCCUUCCCUUUCCUUUUAUCUCUUGUAAGAUAAGAGGUGUUGCAGGCCACACCCCAGGGAAGCUCCCUUUACAUUGGAUCAGGGAUGUGACCUGGGUAAGGGUAUGGAAUCCCACCCUAAUCCCCUUUAACAUAACCCAAUCUGCCUCAUUAACCACAGGCAGAGAUUAGGGUUUACAACACAUAGGAAAGUUACAUCAUUCACAAAAUGCAGGACAACCACAUAAUACUGAGAACCAUGGCCUAACCAAGUCGACAUGUAUUUUGGGGGGACAGAAUUCAAUCCAUAACACACCUCAUGGGCAGCCACCACCCAUCUGUCAGUGGAGGCUUGCAUGUUGCUAAGAUGCUGAACAGUUUUCAGAGGAGCUUCCAGACUAAGACAGACCAGGAAGAAAGGCCUGGCAAUUUAUUUCUGAAAAUCAGUUAAUGAAAACCUUAUGGAUCAUAAUGGUCCAAUCCGCAGACUGGGCAGCAUUUUGUUCCAUUGUGCAUGGGGUUGCCAUGACUUUGGGGCCAACUUGAUGGCAACUAAUAACAAUACAGCAUUGUAUGACUGACAGAGUAAUUUUGAAAAUGAGGCAUUGAACAACUGCAGUUGCAUGUGGAAGAGUGACCUAAGAGCCAUGGUCUGCGGCUCACUCCCCACUACCUCAUCACUCCAACCCUAUCUAGCCACAGACAGGGUCAGGGUCCCACCCCCAACUGUAAAGCCAUCACCUCUCCCAUCGUUCCUGAGCAGCAGAAGACCCAUCACAAUAAUACCUCUGCUCUUUUAGCCCCCCAAGUACUCACCGAUGUACACUGCAAUAGGAACAGUGGGUAUGUGUAGCCACAGAGGCAGAGGAGUCCAUGUCCUUGACCUGAAUCUAGCAGAUCUGAAUUCCAGACCUCACUCUACCAUGUAAUUCACUGUGUGAGCUUGGACAUGUAACUUCACUUCCCUGAAGUUCCAUUUCCUCAAAUGUGAACCUGGAAUAAUACCUGUCUCACAGGAUUGUUGUAAGGAUCAAAUGACUUACUAUUGUAUAUGAAAAUUCUUUGAAAAAUAGAAAGCAGUACUCAAAUGACCAUAAAGUAUUAUUCAUCAGUCUAUACUUCAUCAUAUUUUUGUGGAAAAAAUUAAUCCCAAAGAGUAUUGUAUUUAUAUAAUUUCAUUCAUUCAUUUGUUCAUUCAUCCAUCCAUACACUCAACAAAGCUUUAUUGAACAACCAGUCUGGGUCAGGUGCUUGUGCUUGGUGCUGGUAAACAAUGGUGAACAACCAAGAUACUAGUCAUAUUCUCAGGAGCUUACACUGUAUCUGGGGAAAGGGGACACAGUAAACCAUAAUCCUGCAAACACAGUUAUAAUUACAAACUGUGCUAAAGAAGGAAAAAGUGCAGGCUGCCACAAGUGAAGAGAGCGAUGGAACCACAUGAAUAUGAGGACUUAAUCAAGUUGGCUGACUUGGAGCAAAGACCUCCCAAGCAACAGGAAGAACAUAGGAGAAGGCUCAAGACAGGAGAGCAAAUGGCAAAUUCAAGGAUCUGGAAGGCCAGUAUGGCCAGAACAGAAGAAGGAAGAGGGACCAUGUUGCCAAGUGUGGGCAGGCAAAGGGAGAGUCCCAGGCAACCCCUAGGUUCCUGUUAGGAGAGAGCUGGGAAGUUUGAUGCUAAUGGAGUAAGUAUGAAAUAGAAAUCAUAAGACUGGGAGAAUGAACUUAGUAGAUAAUGUUUUAAGGUGGUUGUGUAGCCCAUUUAAGUUGACACAGGAUAAAUUCAUAGAUUUUAAACUCUCAGACUGGGCGAUUUUUGUAGCAGUGUUCAGCAUUUUGAUGCAGGCAUAUUAAUUCAUUUUGAUAUGGUUAGUUGUGAUUUUCCACUUUGCAUUGUUUCACAAAAACAUUUCUAAGUAUUUCUAGUCCGUAUACUUGUUAUUUUUAAGAUCUGUGUAAUGUUUCAUUAUGGUUUCCAUCAUGUAUUUUUGGCCCUUCCACCCACUGGAAGGCUUUUUAGUUCUUUCUACUUUUUGUUUUUUUCUUUUGGUGCUGAAAAUAUCUUUUGAAAUAGUUCUGUUUUGUUUUCAUAUGGGUGAUUUCCUUAGGUUGCAUUCCCCUUGUGGGUCAUUUCUCCACAUGACAGAUGGACACGCUGAAGCUCACAGUCCUCUGUUUUGUCAUGCUUCAUUUGCCCCGCCUGGAUGUGAGCAAAUUCCCCUGGUACCAGGCUGCUACAGGGGACUUGGAUGGCGAGGAGUAUUGGCAGGAAGGAAGAGGGCCAUCCACAUUAGAAGUACAGAGAAUGCAGGUUAUUCUGUUCACGUGUUUUAUCCUUAAGAUGUUGCCUCCAUCUGUGAUUUGUUUGGCACUCAGAACCUCCAUGGCAGUUAGCCUGACGGGUAGUUUAUUUUCCUCUCUCACUUGUCCUCUCCCUCAAGGGCCUAUUAAGCUCCUCAUAAGUGUUGUCCAUAGAACAAAAAAGUGUAAGGUAGGGGCAAUGAGUGUAACUGUUAGCAGGAGGUGAUUGUGAGAAGAGGCAUAAAAUCUCUGACUAUAAUUACCUGAAGGUUAUAAUUAAAUCACCUAAGGCAAAUGGCUGUCUUGGAGCCAGCAUUUUUAUUCAUUACUUUAUUUAAUGUAUUCAUUCUGCAUUCCUAGACAAUGUUUAGAAAUUAUUCAGGGGCCAAGUCACCAAGCCAAGCAGGUAUCAGGGAAAUUCACCCAACAAGCAUCUUUUUCUUGCCUGAGCAUAGUUCACCUAUUCAUCUGAUCCAGUGUAUUUCUUAAACAUUUGUUAUUGCUGACACUGGUCAAAAAGUUAAGGGAACCAAACAGAGUAAGUGAACUCGAUUUGGGAUAAGGGUAAGGUUUAAGGUCAGUUCUUUGAAAAAAAGUCUAUUCCUUGUGUCAAACAUACUAUAAUAAAAGCUUAGUCUAAUAUUCUUGGUGAUUGGGGGACAAGCUCUAAAAGGUUUCCUAUAUUAUCAAAGCAAAAGACAAAGAUGGAACAUUAUAAUGAUUUUAUUCUCUUACCCAAAGAGGAUAUAUAGGCAAGGAGACAAGGAGCCCUAGUGGCACAAAUGGUUGAGUGCUCAACUGCUAACCGAAAGGUUGGUGGUUCAAACCCACAUGCCGGCUCUGUGGGAGAAAGACCUGGCCAUCUGUUCCUGUAAAGACAACAGCCUAGAAAACCCUAUAGGACAAUUCACAUGGGGUGACUAUGAGUUGAAAUCAACUUGAUGGUACCUAACAACAGCAAGGAGAAGACAGGCUCUUGCCAGAAUCUUAGCCAUUUUGAUCGGAAUCACCAUCAGUAUCGGUGAUGUCUAUAGUUACUAAUAGUAAUGAUAGUAACAUGUAACAGCUAUGGUGUGGUAACUGUGUGCACAUAUAGUGCUUUGUAUUAUAUCCUUACAUCAUGAAGUGGAUUUCCUCAAGGUCAUGUAGCUAUUGAGUAAUGGGCUCCAGGUUCACAGCCCAGUUGCAAGACCAGUGCUACUAACCUCUAUCCUGGGAAUACGAUGACUGGAAACAGCAUGGGAUAUAAGGACAGGCCCAGACCCAAAUCUCCAAGCAUCAAGAACCACAAGUCCUGCUAGCCUCUAAUCUGGUAAAAAAAAAAAAAAAUCUGGUAGGUGACAUUAAGUAAGUCACAUGAACUCCUUGAGAAGCAACACCUGUUUUUCCUAGUACCAGUUGUGAGGGCGUGCUAGAUGAUAGGUGUGACAGUACUUUGAUAACCAAACAUAAAGUCCUACAGAAAUGUAAGAACUUAUGGUUUUGUACUCCAUUGCUAUGAUGAUGUGGGAAGAGUCUCAUACUUAAAAUAUGAGACAUGCAAUAGCUGCUCUAGUGUGAGGAUGCUAAAAUAACAGCAACAAAAACAGUUGCCCUUGAGUCAGUUCUGACUGAUGGUGACCCCAUGUAUAUCAGAGUAGAACUGUGCUCCUUAGAGUUUCAAUGGCUGAUUUUUUGAAAGUAGAUCUCCAGGCCUUUCUUCCUAAGCAUCUCUGGGUGAUCUAAUCUUUUUGUUAGCUGCCAAGUACAUUAACCAUUUGCACUACCCAGAAUGCUAGAAGGGGUCAGAUUCAAAUGUUGCUUCCAGUGGAGCUGCAGUUCAAAAGAAAUCACAUGAUAUGCUGACAUGCCAAUGAAUCAGAUAAUUCAGUCAGGAGGCAGUAGGAAUGGUGUAUGUUGUGUGUGUGACUUCACUGAUGUGGUGACAGAUUAAUUCAAAGCAUCACUAAGCUGUAUAAACAGUUCUUCUUCUAGGGAAGCUGAUGGCUGUGGCAGGCUCCCUCCAGCAACUUGAGGUUGGAAAUUGAUCAUAACAAGUCAUGAGGUAGGUUUCAGAAACAAUACUGAAGGUUGGAGCAGGAAUCAGGUGCUUUUCAGGCUGAUCUUGUUGACAUCAGCCUCCCCCAGGCUCCAUCAUGCCUUGAGCAAUCAGUAUAUCUCAGGUAUUGGUCAAGGAUAUGGGUUUCUAGAGGAUGGAAUAAGUGUCAUAGCACUAGGACGUGGAGGCUAAGGCAGAAAUUUUAUUCAUGCCUCAUGUAAACCCAGUAGACUAGUGGUUCUAAAACUCAGGGAGAUUAAAAUCUCUUAGAAAAAUUGCUUAAAUGCUGAUUUCCAGGCUCCAUCUCCAGAAAUCAUUAUAGAAGUUCCUGGGUGGUGCAAAGGGUUAAGUGCUUGGCUAUUAACCAAAAGGUGGAGGUUCAAAUCCACCCAGAGAUGCCUCAAAAGAAAGGCCUGGCUGUCUGCUUCUGAAAGGUCACAGCCAUGAAAACCCUGUGGAGCACAGUUCUACUCUACAAUACAUGGGGUCACCAUCAGUCUAAAUUGACAGUAAUUGGAAAAAAGUGUGGCCCAAGAAUCUUCAUUCUAACAAACUCUUUAGCGAUUUUGAUGAAGGUAGGAAAAAAUAUGGUAGAUAAGAGAAGGAUUCUGGGAGAGAGCUCCCAUGGUAAAAAUUGAAAAGCUGAUGGGAACAAGACAGAGAUGCCUUUUACCAUCACUCCUAUUUAACAUUGUGCUGAAAGUCCUUGCUAGAGCAAUAAUGCAAGAAAAAGAAAUAAAGGGGAUCUAAAUUGGAAAUGAAGAAGUAAAACUGUCCCUAUUCACAGACGAUAUGAUUUUAUACAUAGAGAACCCCAAAGAUUCCACAAGAAAACUACUGGAACUAAUAGAAAGAUCAGCAGAGUAGCAGGAUAUAAGAUCAACAUAUAAAAAUCAGUUGGAUUCCUAUACACCAACAAAGAGAACUCCAAAAAGGAAAUCAAGAAAACAAUAACAUUUAUAAUACUCCUUAAAAAGAUAAAACACUUAGGAAUAAAUCUAACCAAGGACAUAGAAGACCAAUACAAAGAAAACUAUAAAACACUAUCGCGAGAAACCAAAAGAGGCCUACAUAAACGGAAAAACAUACCAUGCUGUCUUAGUCAUCUAGUGCCGCUAUAACAGAAAUACCACAAAUGGAUGCCUUUAACAAAGAGAAAUUUAUUUCUUCACAGUAAGUAGGCUAAAAGUCCAAAUUCAGGGCAUCAGCCCCAGGGGAAGCCUUUGUCUGUCUGUUGGACUUCUCAUCAGUCUUUCCCCUGACUAGGUGCUUCUCCAUGCAGGGACCCCAGGUCCAAAGGAGGCACUCUGCCCAUGGUGCUGCUUUCUUGGUGAUACGAGGUCCCCAACUCUCUGCUUACUUCCCUUUCCUUUUAUCUUACAAGAGAUAAAAGGUGGUGCAGGCCACACCCCAGAGAAACUCCCUUUGCAUUGGAUUAGGGAAGUGACCUGAGCAAGAGUGUUAUGUCCCACCUUAAUCCUCUUUAACCACAGGCAGAGAUUAUGAUUUAUAACACAUAGGAAAAUCACAAAAUGGAGGACAACCACACGAUACUGGGAAUAAUGGCCUAACCAAGUUGACACAUAUUUUGGGGGGACACAGUUCAAUCCAUGACACAUGCUCACAAAUGGACUCAACAUUGUGAAAAUGUCAAUCCUACUUAAACCUAUCUACAGAUGUAAUGGAAUCCCUGUUCAAAUACUAAUAGCAUUCUUUAAUGAGAUGGAAAAAUGAAUCAUGAGCUUUAUAUGGAAAGGAAAAAGGCCCCAAAUAAGCAAAACAUUAUUGAAGAAAAAUUAGCCUCACAUUAUCUGAUCUCAGAACCGAUUAUACAGCCACAGUAGUCAAAAAAGCCUAGCACUAGUACAAUGACAGACACAUAGACCAAUGGAACAGAAUUGAGAACCCAGAUGUAAAUUCAUCCACCUGUGAUCAGAUGACCUUUGACAAAGAACCAAAGCUCGUUAAAUGGGGAAAUAUAGUCUUUUUAACAAACGGUCUGGCAAAAAUGGACAUCCACCUAUAAAAGAAUGAAACAGGACCCAUACCUCACACUAUACAUAAAAACUAAUUCAAAGUGGGUCAAAGACCUAACUGUAAAACCUAAGAUGAUAAAGAUCAUGGAAGAAAAAAAAGGGGACAACACUAGGGGCCCUAACACAUGACAUAAUAUGAACCAUAACUCACAAUGCACAAACACCAGAAGAGAAACUAGAUAACUGGGAGCCCCUAAAAAUUAAACAUUUAGAAUCAUUAAAACACUUCAAUGAAAGACUAAAAACGGAACCUACAGAAAGGAAAAAAAUUUUUGACUACAACAUAUCUGACAAGGGUCUAAUCUCUAAAACCUAUAGAAUACUUCAACACCUCAACAACAAAGACAAAUAACCCAAUUAAAAAAUGAGCAAAGAAUAUAAACAGAGCCAUUAGAGAAAUGCAAAUUGAAACUACAAUGAGAUACCAUCUCACCCCAAUAUUACUGGCACUAAUAAAAAAAAAAACAGAAGAUAGCAAAUGUUGGAGAGGUUUUGGGGAGAUUGGAACUCUUAUGCACUACUGGUAGAAAUGUAAAAAGGUGCAACUCCUAUAGAAAAUGACAUGCCACCUCCUUAAAAAGCUAGAAAUAGAAAUAUCAUAUGAUCUUGAAAUCUCACUCCUAGGCAUAUAUCUUAGAAAAAUAAGACAUAUAAAUACCCAUGUUCACUGCAGCAUUGUUUAUAAUAGCAAAAAGUUGGAAACAACCUAGGUGCCCAUCAACAGAUGAAUGCAUAAACAAACUAUGAUACUACAUACACACAAUGGAAUACUAUGCAAAAAUAAAGAACAAUGAUGAAUCCGUGAAACAUCUCACAACAUGGAUGAAUCUGGGGGGCAUUUUGCUGAGUGAAGUAAGUCAAUCACAAAAAGACAAAUAUUGUAUGAGAUCACUAUUAUAAAAACUCAACAGAAAGUUUGCACACAGAAAAAAAAAUCCUUUGAGUAUUAUGAGGAUGGGGAGGGAAAAUCACUAACUAGAUGGAGAGAAGUGUUAACUUUGGUGAAGGGAAAGACAACACACAAUAUAGGGGAAGUCAGCACAACUUGACCAAGGCAAAGUCAUAGAUGCUUACUAGAGACAUCCAAACGUCUUGAGGGACUGAGUUUCUGGGGCUGAGGGCUGGGGACCAUGGUCUCAGAGGAUAUCUACAUCGAUUGGCAUAACAUAGUUUAUAAAGAAAAUGCUGUACAUCCUACUUUGGUGAGUAGCAUCUGGGUCUCAAAAGCUUGAGAGAGGACAUCUAAGAAAUCUACUGGUCCCAUUCACAUUUGGAGCAAAGGAGAAUGAAGAAAACCAAAGACAUGAGGAAAAUAUUAGUCCAAAGGACUAAUUAACCACAUGAACCACAGCCUCCACCAGCCUGAGCCCAGAACUAGAUAGUGCCCAGCUGCUGCCACCGACUGCUCUGACAGGGAUCACAAUAGAGAGUCCUGGACAGAGCAGGAGAAAAAUGUAGAACAAAAUUCGAAUUCACAAAAAAAGACCAGAUUUACUGGUCUGAUGGUGACUGGAGGACCCCCCAAGACUAUGGCCCUGGGACACCCUACUGACUUAGAACUGAAGCCACUCCUAAAGUCCACCUUUCAACCAAAGAUUAGACAGGUCUAUAAAACAAACAAUAACACACACGAAGAACGUGCUUCUUAGUUCAAUCACGUAUACAAGGCCAUAUGGGCAACACCUGCCCAAAAACAAAGAUGAGACGGCAGAUAGGGACAGGAAAACUGGAUGAGUGGACACUGAGAACCCGGGGUGGAAAGGGAAAGGGGGAAAAUGGUGGCAUAUGGCGGGAUUGCAACUAAUGUCACAAAACAAAUUGUGUUUAAAAUUUUUGAAUGAAAAACUAAUUUAUGCUGUACACUUCGCCUAGAACACAAUAAAAUUUAAAAGCUAACAUUGCCUGAGCACUUACUAUGAACCCGGCAUUCACCUAAGUGCUAUACAUAAAUUAACCCAUUGAAUCCUCACUGCAAUCCUAUGAGACAUACACUAAUAUGUCCUCAAUUUUAUAAAUGAAGUAAAGGAAGUACAUACUGUUUAAGAAGACACUGGGAGAAAGUGUCAAUAAAAUGUAAAAUUUCUAAUAUCUCAGAAGAACUUACUAAGAAAGAAAUGAAUUGCUUAAAUUUCACCCAGAGGAAUAGCUAUUAACUCCUAUCACUGUGGCAGUGUGGCCUGAUUUUAAGACUGAAAAUUCAGGGUUUGGUAACUUAGGGGAGGGUUGGAGCUUGGGGGAAAUUUCCCACCCUAGAAGCUGUUUCAUUGAGAUGAACCGAACCCGUUGCCAUUGAGUCGAUUCCCACUCAUAGCGACCCUAUAGAACAGAGUAGAACUGACCCAUAGAGAUUCCAAGGAGCACCUGGUGGAUUCGAACUGCAGACCUUUUUGGUUAGCAGCUGUAGUACUUACCCACUACACCACCAGGGUUUCCAACAUUGAGACAGGAAACUACAAAGCUCCAAUGAUUUUGACUUUGUUUACAGGACCUCAGUUUCUAAUGCUGAAAUUGCCCUUCUCCCAACCAACCCUCUCUUUGUCAAGUUCCUAUUGAAAUGCUAUGGGCCUCAUACUUGCCUGUAAGGUAUAUAGAAAGAGGAGUUUUUAAGUGCCUGCUAGUUACAAGAAAAGUAUAAUAUUAUCCAUCUACAGCCAGUUAGCUCAUUUAGUUAGGGCCCAGUGAGAAUAAGUGUUCUAAUGCACACAGGGUCACCAUGAGUCAGAACUGAUUCGACAGCAACAGGUUGCUUGGUUGAGGAUAAGGGUGAACUCCCAAGCCCUACCUUAACUCUCCGCUGCAAAAGAACCCAUUUGAACUCUCCUUCUUCCUUGGCUAAGAAGAAUGAACAGGUAGGAGACCUGGGGAGUCUCCUUAACUGGAGAUAAAUUGGCCAGCCCAAAGAGGAGGUAACUUGAAUUGGUGAGUAGAAAUGCUCUUUCUCUGAUUUAAUUAUUCAUGGACCAAGAUUUAAGGAACCUUAAAAAGUUGGCUGAAUAUUGUUUCAAAGUUUGGUGCUCCAGAGUUCCAGACCCAGGAUUCUAAGUGCCUGACUACUUUGUGCCGUUAGAUUUUUCUGCUAGCACCCCCCUCCCCCAAACACAUACCAAACCAAGCCCAUUAUGUUCCCCACCAAGCCAUCUCUUCUCCUGAUGACUUUGUUUCUGUUCAUGAUCACACUGUUCUCCCAAUCUAGGCUCAGCUAUCUUUGAACCCACCCUUCAUAGAUAGUCAGCUGUAAGAGAAAUUCAAGAAGUCUCUUAAAAA